ACUACGGGAGGCAGCAGUGAGGAAUAUUGGUCAAUGGACGAGAGUCUGAACCAGCCAAGUAGCGUGAAGGAUGAAUGAGAGAUGGGUUGGAAAGGGAAGGAAGAGGGGAAGAAAAUGUUCCACGUGUGGGAUUUUGUAUGUACCAUAUGAAUAAGGAUCGGCUAACUACGUGCCAGCAGCCGCGGUAAUACGGAGGAUCCGAGCGUUAUCCGGAUUUAUUGGGUUUAAAGGGAGCGUAGGGGGAUAGUUAAGUCAGUUGUGAAAGUUUGCGGCUCAACCGUAAAAUUGCAGUUGAAACUGGCAGUCUUGAGUACAGUAGAGGUGAGCGGAAUUCGUGGUGUAGCGGUGAAAUGCUUAGAUAUCACGAAGAACUCCGAUUGCGAAGGCAGCUCACUGGACUGCAACUGACACUGAGGCUCGAAAGUGUGGGUAUCAAACCGGAUUAGAUACCCUAAUAGUC
rnacentral:rRNA from 1 species